rnacentral:misc_RNA from 1 species
UUUUAUUCAUGGGUCUAGAGAAGUGGAGACGGAGGCACACGCUCCCUUUUCCACAAGCAAACUUAAUUCUUCACCUGCAGUGCAGAGACGCAAUAAUGGAGCUCAGCGCCCUGGGUGCAGUCAUUCACAUGUUCACUGUGUACAGGAAGAAAAUACCAGGGACGAAGAUGUUGAGCACCCAGCUCAUAUCUAGUUUCAACGUUAUCGGGUUGACCUUAGAAUUCACUUCCUUGUUUGUUUUUGUACAUUUGUACCUAUCGACAACAUGGCGGUUACCGAUGUAUCAUGUCUGUCAUAAUUAUAUUACAAUAAUGUCAGUGUAUCACCUCUGCCUUUUUUGUAUAUGCUUUAUAGUGACCCAUUGGGCGCCAGGUAGCAGUAGCAGAAAAGAUGCUUUGCCAUGUGGAUAUUAUGACGAGACCUGUGCAACAGAAGGUGCAUAUGCUCCAAAUCCUGCAGAUUGCACACGUUAUUAUUGGUGCAUGCAUGGCAGAUGGGUACUCUGUAACUGUAGCGGUGCAUCCUCUGGCAGCUGUGGUGUUCCUGUGGAAUACUGUAAAGUUGUCUUUUGCCCACAAGUAACUUCUCCAACGAUUGCCACCCUAACGUUAGAAGUAACAACUAUGAAAAUAACACCUAAGUCUGUUCCUACUUCCUCAAAACCCAUUACCACUUCCUACACUAAUAUUACAACAUACAUGUAUGGUUUGAUGUCUGAUACUGCUGCUGGUACAUCUGCCUCAACGGAGCCAACCUCAACGGAGCCAACAUCAGCAGCACCCCGAAGUGGGUCAGUCUCAGAGCGUUCUCUCCCCCUGGUGUUGUAGCUGGCAUCGUGGCAUUAGUAGCGCUGGCAAUACUAAACAUCAUACAGUGUGUGCUGCUUGUGAUUCUGUGGCGGAGAAUAAAACGCACUGAGAGGUCAAAUCAAUCAAUUCAAGCAGUUGAAAAGGAACAACCUAGAACAACAGGUCUCACACCCAAUGGGCACCCCAUGACAAAUACAGAUGCUUCCAGGAAUUACGGUGACAAUUACAUGUCUCUUGCAAAAGCGAAUACAUCGAUGGAUCUGCCAUGAGCGAGGCCAAUGAAGAUAGAAAUGGCUAUCAAGAACUUCGCUCUGCUGAGACGCCAUCUAGUGACGAGUAUUCAUAUGCAUAUGCUUCUGCUGGUGGCAGGAAAGCCGGUGUAAAAUCAAGAGAACACGAGACGAAACAAAAAUCAGACGUCUAUGAGUUACAACGUAUGUAUUCGAAUGAUUUACAGUAACCAUGCAGGGAGCAAUAACCUUCAUAAAGACUUGAUAAUGAUGAUUUCAAAGAAUUUAAUGAGACUUGACUUAUAGAAAUAUAUUGACUUUAAAUAACAUUAAGAUCCUCUGAUUUUUUCGAAAAUAGAUGUCUCUAGCUUUUACGAAUGCCGGGCCAUGAGCAUAAUUAAACAAGCCCAUAUGUAUAUAAUUUAAUAUUUCAACAUUAAGAGACAUAAUGGUCGUUCAAUGUUUCAGUAGCCCUACCUGUACCACUCGUCACGUGUUUGACAUUUGUUUGCGGGUUUAAUUCACCUGGGCACUAACUUUUCUCACAAAGUCAAAACGAAUCUGUCAGAUCGACCAACUUAACCGAUUCUUUUUAAAUAUUGUUUAAAUAAAGGUAUUUUAU